GGAGAGGUGGCUGAGUGGUCUAAAGCGGUUGAUUCGAAAUCAAUUGAGUGCCUUAAAGGUGCUCCGUGGGUUCGAAUCCCACCCUCUCCGCCA
rnacentral:tRNA from 1 species